CAGUAGCCGCGGUAAUACGUAGGUGGCAAGCGUUGUCCGGAAUUAUUGGGCGUAAAGGGCUCGCAGGCGGUUUCUUAAGUCUGAUGUGAAAGCCCCCGGCUCAACCGGGGAGGGUCAUUGGAAACUGGGAAACUUGAGUGCAGAAGAGGAGAGUGGAAUUCCACGUGUAGCGGUGAAAUGCGUAGAGAUGUGGAGGAACACCAGUGGCGAAGGCGACUCUCUGGUCUGUAACUGACGCUGAGGAGCGAUAGCGUGGGGAGCGAACAGGAUUAGAUACCCCAGUAGUCCCUGUCUCUUAUAC
rnacentral:rRNA from 1 species